GUGGAACCAUUUUUGAAAGAAAUAUCAGAGGGCCAACCACACUUUUUGUCCAGUGGAUUUCCUCCGAAGACGCAGAGUUUAUGCAGAUCAUUCUUGCACCUGAUGGUAAUGACAACCAUAAUAAAGAUGAUUAUAAUUCUGGGACUGUCAGCCCAUUGGAUCAACCUAGCACCUCUUAUGAACAUCUGGCAUCGUUCUCCCCUCGUUCAGAGCAGGAAGAGACUGUCCAGAAGACCAACCUUCAAACAAUACUGAGUCUCCUUUCAGCCAAGAUAGAUGAUGAUAGUCCCACUAGUAAUCAGAUCAAUGUUGUAAGGGAUUAUAAAGGCAAUACCCACAACAUACUGAGAAGCACUGUUCAGGCUUUUAGUCGGCGAUGAUUUAACCUCAGAGCUAGACUGGAUGUGAUUUUUGUUGAUGAUACAAAAGCGGCAGAGGGGGCUGUGGACGGUGGUGGUCCAACUAGAGAGUACCUCAGAUUGCUCCUUAAGGCUGUCCAACAGUCUAGCAUGUUUGUGGGCCCUGAAAAUAGUAAGAGGUUGCGGCUUGACAGUGAAGCUUUGCACAAAGGUCUCUACAGGCAGAUAUCUCAAAUGAUAUCAGUUUGUAUAAUUCAUGGAGGAAUGGGGCCACAUUUCUUUUCAGAAAAGCUCUUUCUCCAAGUUUGUGGUAAACCCACCCAUCCUGCAACCUUGGAUGAAGUAGAUGAUGAGACCUUUAAAGAAAUGCUUUGCAAAAUAAAAGAAGCCGAAACUCUUCCAGAAGCCAAAGCUGCCAUUGAUAUGGCAGAAGAUUGCCUGUCCAUAAUUGGAGCCUUUAGAUCCAUUAGUACUCUUAAGCAGCGGGACAUUCUGGUACAGUCAGCUGUGGAGUAUUAUGUUAAUGGGAGAUGCAAUGUUGCACUGCAACAGUACGUAGUAUCAAACACUUUCUUGUUUGUU